GUAUGUGAUCAAUAGAACAUCUAUUUUGGGAAGAGGCAGAUAAAGUCUAACCCCACCUGUGUUUAUUUCUCUGGAAUCAUCUGAGAUGUUACAUACAAACCUGGCAACCUGUGCCAAUCUACUAAGAAGCUGGUUUCAAAACUGCUGGGUUAUGCAUAACGAUAUGAGGCCCUUCCUCCUGGAAAACUAGGUCACUGGGAUGUAAAAUGAGUCUCUUCUACUCUUAUGAAAGCUGCGCAUGGUGAAAAAUACAGCACGGUUACUUUAAAACAUUUGUUUAUAGUAAACAGGAUGGAAGCCUGCAUUUUUGUUAAUCCUGCUCUUGUCCUGUUUCCCAGUCAUGCUUCCUUCUCCCCAACUCUUAUUUGUGUGUAGCAAAAUCUGCACAACUGUAAGCACUAUUUUGGUAGCAACCACAUUACAUCAGUUGCAAUUUUUGGUUAAUGGGAAAUGUAACGGGUAAGUAAAUUCUUGUCAGCCCAAUUACUACUGAGGUGAGACUUCAAGAAAAAAGGGGUCUCUGCAAGCCUUAUCUGGCUACGUGUUAACAAAUACAUAUAAAUAUACAUGCGUGUGUGUGUAGGUGAUUGUGUGUAUACACUAUACAUGUUUAUACACACAUACAUACAAACACUGAGAAGUUCCUGGAACUGAGAAUUUGUCACUUGUUUCAGACUGUUGCCGUGAUAGCAGAAAUACCCUGAGACUAAAUAAAAUUCUUAUUCAAAGUAAA